rnacentral:snoRNA from 1 species
ACUCCGUGGUGCGGGCAACAUCGGAGCAAGUCUUUGUACCCCUCUUAAGCAUCAUACAUGCUCUUGUCAUCGAACUACACAAAAGAAGAUAUGUCAUUUCUUAAUCU